ACUCCAGCCUUCAGGAGAUGAUAAAAAGAUGUAAGAAUGUUGGCUCCAGUGCCUUUCAAAUGGAUGCCCUCAAAGCUGCUGUUUCUAAAGGAGUGCAGGAUGUCAUCACAUAAAUGCUCACAAGCUCCUGAGUCUGGGUCCCGAGGAGGCAGUUGCAGGAGACUUCCAAAGACCUGGGAUUAGGGAAAGUUUGGACUUGGAAGGAGUCUAGCCAAGAAGCCUAGUGGUAAGUUGAGAGCUCCUCCCUGGAGAAAUGUUCAGAAAGAUGAAUAGCAGCAAGCACAAAGAUGAGAAUUAUCUAGACAGAAUCAUAAAACCAAGUUUUGUUCCUGGAACUGGAAGGCCAGGAGAAAAGACAGGUGAAAUUUUGGAUAAUUCUUAAAGAAAAGAACUCUGGAGAACAUUGUAAAAGGGAAGCAUGCCUAACCUGAGAAUAGGGCCUUUCAGUUUGUGAUUCAAUGAUCCAGUAUAGGAUUGCAACAGUAAUCCCCUUUCUUGACACAUCACAGGCAGAACAGAGAUACAAUGGAUCAUGCUGCCACCACUUUCUCUCUUCAUGUAGGGUGUGUAAAUCACCAGUAUCCACUGAGGUAAUUGUAUCACAUUCGCCUACCAAUAUUGUUUGCCUGUGCUGAAGGCCUGUUCAGCAAGGACAAUAGUGAAAAUGAGAAUCCUCAGGAUGUUGGGUGUCCACCUACCAGCCUUCUCCAGCUCUCACAUUCUUCAAAUCCUCAGAAACAAUUAUGCAAGGACUGGGUGAUGUAGGAUCCAUUGUGAUGUCCACUCUGAAUCAGGAACAAAGCCUGGUGCCAUGACUCUCUGUCCAGUGGAUUCUCAUCUUUGUGCUUGCUGCUAUUCAUCUCUCUGAGCCUUUCUCCAAGGAGGAAUUCUCAAUCCACCACGAGGCUCGCCAGCUGGUGUUUUUCCAUUUCCAAACUUCCUCUGCAAGAGAAGGAGCAUCACCAACUUCUAGAUGGCUUGCCUUUCACCUGCAAGCUGAAGAGGACUAUUCCUAAAUAUGUUGUGCCUUCUGAUUCUCAGUGGAUUCUGUCUAUGAAGUUUUACAAUUUAUCAAUUCUUUUUCAGCAAUUAAAAAAAUAAUGAACCAAUCACACGAGAAUUCUGGCUUUUAUAGCCUUCCUAGAAUUUAUCAAAGUUCUUCGAAAGCCAUAGAUUUCAAGCUUUUGCACUCCUAUGACACUCGGAUUACUGUUAACCUUUCUUUUGCUCCAUUUAAUAAAAAUGUGAAAUGA